UCCUCUUUAGCUCAGUUGGUUAGAGCAUCUGACUGUUAAUCAGAGGGUCCUAAGUUCGAGUCUUAGAAGAGGAGCCA
rnacentral:tRNA from 1 species